CCUACGGGAGGCUGCAGUCGAGAAUCAUUCACAAUGGGGGAAACCCUGAUGGUGCGACGCCGCGUGGGGGAAUGAAGGUCUUCGGAUUGUAAACUCCUGUCAUGUGGGAGCAAAUUAAAAAGAUAGUACCACACGAGGAAGAGACGGCUAACUCUGUGCCAGCAGCCGCGGUAAUACAGCGGUCUCAAGUGUUGUUCGGAAUCACUGGGCGUAAAGCGUGCGUAGGCUGUUUCGUAAGUCGUGUGUGAAAGGCGCGGGCUCAACCCGCGAACGGCACAUGAUACUGCGAGACUAGAGUAAUGGAGGGGGAACCGGAAUGCUCGGUGUAGCAGUGAAAUGCGUAGAUAUCGAGAGGAACACUCGUGGCGAAGGCGGGUUCCUGGACAUUAACUGACGCUGAGGCACGAAGGCCAGGGGAGCGAAAGGGAUUAGAUACCCUUGUAGUC
rnacentral:rRNA from 1 species